rnacentral:sRNA from 23 species
AUAUUGCAAAGUAAGAGGGGGUGAGAAGCCCCGCCGGGGUUCGACAGCGGGCGCAGCCCGAUGGACAGCGGAGCCUGCGACGCUGCCCGCAGGGUGAGCGAAGCGAAUCAAUCCCCCUCUCACCGCCA